rnacentral:rRNA from 1 species
CGGACUUAGUGAUCCGGUGGUUCCGCAUGGAAGGGCCAUCGCUCAACGGAUAAAAGCUACCCCGGGGAUAACAGGCUUAUCUCCCCCAAGAGUUCACAUCGACGGGGAGGUUUGGCACCUCGAUGUCGGCUCAUCGCAUCCUGGGGCUGUAGUCGGUCCCAAGGGUUGGGCUGUUCGCCCAUUAAAGCGGUACGCGAGCUGGGUUCAGAACGUCGUGAGACAGUUCGGUCCCUAUCCGUCGUGGGCGUAGGAAAUUUGAGAGGAGCUGUCCUUAGUACGAGAGGACCGGGAUGGACAUACCUCUGGUGUACCAGUUGUCGUGCCAACGGCAUAGCUGGGUAGCUAUGUGUGGACGGGAUAAGUGCUGAAAGCAUCUAAGCAUGAAGCCCCCCUCAAGAUGAGAUUUCCCAACUUCGGUUAUAAGAUCCCUCAAAGAUGAUGAGGUUAAUAGGUUCGAGGUGGAAGCAUGGUGACAUGUGGAGCUGACGAAUACUAAUCGAUCGAAGACUUAAUCAA